rfam:Gossypium hirsutum cultivar TM-1 chromosome 22, whole genome shotgun sequence
UGUUAAAAAUCUAUCUAUUUGUACUGUUAAAAAUUGGUGUUGUUGACAGAAUAACCAAUAAUAACACGUGACAUACCAUAUGUAUCUCAUGCUGAUGUACAAAGACUAAUUUUAAACAGUAAAAAUAAUAAAAUUUUUAACA